rnacentral:rRNA from 1 species
UACGUAGGGUGCGAGCGUUGUCCGGAAUUAUUGGGCGUAAAGAGCUCGUAGGCGGCUUGGCAAGUCAGAUGUGAAAGCCCUCGGCUUAACCGAGGAAGUGCGUCUGAAACUGCUGAGCUUGAGUCUCGGAGAGGAUGGCGGAAUUCCGCAAGUAGAGGUGAAAUUCGUAGAUAUGCGGAGGAACACCGGUGGCGAAGGCGGCCAUCUGGACCAGCACUGACACUGAGGCACGAAAGCGUGGGGAGCAAACAGG